UCAAGAGUAAACACCAUCUUGUUCACUUGCCCAGCUGGUCACACCUUGAUCUCAGUGUCUCCUGAGACAAAUGCAUAAGCAGCUGAGAGACAGACAAGCUAGACUGUGUCUGAUUAAUAGGUUUUGGCAUAGCAGAGAGAAUGGUCAGUAGGGUAAAGAGAAAACCCACACCAUGCAGGGUGAGACUUGACAACUAUCCGGUUGGCUAAAGGUCAUCUGAUGAGGGGCUUGUUUCCAAGUGGAAGGAGAUGGACGCUUUGCAUUUCCCAGCAGGAUGAAUAUGAUCCAAGCAUUCCUUCUACAGCCUUCUGUCUCUGGCACUUGUGAUAUUUAUUGCUCUUUUUGUCCCAGGGUUGCGAAUUACUUCAAAUAAACAAGGCAAAAAGAA